rnacentral:tRNA from 2 species
UAAAAGAUAAGCUAAAAAAGCUAAUGGGUUCAUACCCCAUGAAUGGGAACUUUCUCUCUUUUUA